CUGAAUGAGGGGCUGUCUUGGAACCUUGCCAGGAGAAAGAAUCCAUCCACAUUGCUGGGGAGUCCCCAGAAGCCUCGCGGCCUCUAGGUGACGUGAGGCACAGAUGGAUGGAUCCUGUCGAAGAGGGAGGAGAUUAAGCCCUAGCUUGUAUGCCUGGGAGCUCCAGCACGCACCCCACCCAGCUCCGGAACACCUCUGCGGACUUCAGUCCCCCUCCUCCUGGGUGUAUCAUCGACCCUAAGCCCCUGGAGAGACCCUCAGAAAUGCCC